GAAGAUGGACUUAUUGAUUUCUAUAUUCUUCCUCUAGCAUCAUGAAAUUUGACCUCUUCAGCCAUGCAUGGUUAACACUCCAUCUAUCUGAGUAAGUCCUGCCUUGAAGAAUCGUGAGUGCAAACCAGUUUGAGAGAGAAGAGGAAAAAUAAAUGAGUCAUGCUCUGUCUUCCAGGCUGGAAUGCAGUGGUAUGAUCACAACUCACAACUUACUGCAUCCUCUACCUCCUGAGCUCAAGGGAUCCUUCCACUUCAGCCUCCAAGGUGGCUGGGACCAUAGAUACACUCCACUACUCAAAGUUUAGCAACCACUCACGGAAAUUUAAAACACUAAAUUUCUGGACUUGCCAGACUAAGGGCCAGACUCUGGACCUCACCAAAUUCAUCAAGGUAAUGUAACCCUGAAAUAUUCUUUUUAGUAACCAGUAUGCUUGUGGACACUUAAUUCUUUUAACAUCAAUAGCAUUUAUUGAUUGUUGCCAUUGGACCCAUCCUUAUGACCAUCUUAACAUCUCCUUCCCCAGCAAAAAACAAAACAAAACAAAACAAAAACCUAAAAACAAAUAAUGCUUCACAUUAAAAAUAUGCCAUUUUCUCUCCUGUUCCUAGGGGACUUCCCUUGCUAUGAGUAUCUUGCUGGUCAGUAGAAGCAGAAAGAAUCUCAGAUGACUCUGCUUUCUUGGGAAGCACUUUGUAAAAUACAAUUUUCAAAAAGAAAAAAUAUAUAAAAUU
rnacentral:antisense_RNA from 1 species